rnacentral:rRNA from 1 species
UACGUAGGGUGCGAGCGUUGUCCGGAAUUAUUGGGCGUAAAGAGCUCGUAGGCGGUCUGUCGCGUCUGCUGUGAAAACUCAGGGCUUAACCCUGAGCUUGCAGUGGGUACGGGCAGACUAGAGUGCGGUAGGGGAGACUGGAAUUCCUGGUGUAGCGGUGAAAUGCGCAGAUAUCAGGAGGAACACCGAUGGCGAAGGCAGGUCUCUGGGCCAUUACUGACACUGAGAAGCGAAAGCAUGGGGAGCGAACAGG